AUACAUAGGGGGCAAGCGUUAUCCGGAAUUAUUGGGCGUAAAGGGUGCGUAGGCGGUCUGUUAAGUCUAAGGUGUAAGUGCAAGGCUCAACCUUGUGAUGCUUUAGAAACUGGUGGACUAGAGAUAGAUAGAGGCAAGUGGAAUUCCAUGUGUAGCGGUAAAAUGCGUAAAUAUAUGGAGGAACACCAGUGGCGAAGGCGGCUUGCUGGGUCUAUACUGACGCUGAGGCACGAAAGCGUGGGGAGC
rnacentral:rRNA from 1 species